ensembl:lncRNA
UCACAGCCCAUUCUGGAUUUUACUCUGGGCUCUACAGCACAGAGGGGUGAGGGGGUGCAGCAGUUGGAGACGACUGUGUCCAUGGCAACACAGGACCCUUCCAAGCUGAGGGGAAAGGAUUUAGGGCGCCCCCCUAAAUCCUCUGAGCCAGUGGGGAUGGGGGUAAUGGGGAUACCCAAACCGUUGGAAUUGACCCCACCCAAGCCACUUAUACCAAAACCUCCAAGCAAAAACAGAUCUCUGCCCCAGGGACCUGAGGGGAGAGCCCAGGACAGCCCAGAUGGAAGUGUCUCUUCUGGGUCUGAAAAGAGAGACAUCCCCCCUGGCUUCCAGUCUGUACCUCCAGGGACAGAGGGAGUCAGAGAACCACCAGAUCCUAGCGAACACAUCGCAGAUGGGAGCGAGAGCUCCAGAAACCCUGCAGAGAUUCGGAGUAACACGGAGGAGGGAGGUUUGUUAGAGGGGGGGGAAUUUAGAAGGCACACAGGAAGUUGUGGUUCCGGACACUGCAACAUGGGGUGGUGGGGGUGUGUUUGGGUCGAAACACACGAAUAUGAAGAAAAUGAAGAAAUCUACCAAGAUGAUGAUGAGCAGAUGGAAGGAGAGUCAAGAGGAGAAGGGAGGAAAUGGAGAGAUUCAGGAUGACGACGGAGAAAGAGAGGUGGAGAGCGAAAUGCCGUUAGUGCACCUCCAUCAAGAUCGACAUUCAGUCAGGUUGCAUGCUAAAAUGUCCGCCAUAGAGGAAGAGGAGGAGGAGGAGGAGGAGAAGAGGAGCGGUGAGGCUACGCAGGAGUCGCCAACGAUGGAGCGGCCCAGCCAAGCUGAGACGGAGAGGAAGCCUGUGGGACACCAUGCACGUUUUCAGAGCUCCUUCAGCUCUUUCAAGUUCAACUUCAGUUCCAUCAGCUUGGUGGACGAGAUUCUAACAGGAGAUGAGUGGUCACCAUUCCUGUCUAUAAGGGACAGUCCAGCCCCCUCACUGUCCGUUUUCCAAUCAGAGGCUGCUAGCCAACACGGUUAUGAUGAAGGCGACCAAUUAAAGACUGGACCAGAGUUGCGCCUUCCCAACGACGUUCAACAUAACCACGAGGACAUAGGCCUUUCUUUAUACGAGGCUGUCAGCUUCAGCCAAUCAAGUCCGAAUGAGAUUGUGGACAACCAAUCGGACAACAGACAACAGGAAGUAGACAACAACAAUGACACAGGAGCUGACGCCAUUGCUGUCAUCAAACCGAAGAUAUUAUUGGAAAAUGAUGCAGCGGAGGAGAGUGAGUUGGACCACUCCAGACCCAUAUCUAAGGACACCCAUGACACUGUUGAAUUAUGCAAGUCCCCCAUAAGGACCCAAUCAAAGGACCUUCUUGACUUCCUCUGUGUUGAGGAACAGAGACCUUCAAUGUAAGAUGCACUGCAAUCAAAGCCCCUGAAAUCAAAUUCCUCAAACCCUCUCCUCCUUCCACACUCUCUCCCACAUCACUCCCUUCUUCCUCCUCUCCUUCCUCCUCCCUCUCUUCCUCCUCCUCUCCCUCCUAUGUCUUUCCGUCCUCUUUCUACAACAUCCCUCCGUCUGCUGAAAAACAGGACCCUGUGACAUCACCAACACAGGACAACCUCUCUGUUAAGACCACUGAAAGCAGCAGAAAGCCAGGUUCAAGUCCCAAGCCGCCUCUGUCCAAAUUCAUGACAGUCCUGAAAGACAAAACCAAGAGGAAGCUUAAAAACUAGUUACAGUCUUGUCUCAUCGCAGCAACUCCCACAUGGACUUGGGAGAGGAGAAGAUCAAGAGCUGUGCAUCCUCUGAAACACAACCCCAUCAAGCCGCACUGCUUUUCUUGACACAAUGCCCACUUAACCCGGUGUGUUUCCUCUGGUUUUGAACUUUUGCCUGUCCACGACCAUUCUCUUGCACCUUAAACUCCAA